rnacentral:rRNA from 1 species
ACGCUGGCGGCAGGCCUAACACAUGCAAGUCGAGCGGUAGAGAGAAGCUUGCUUCUCUUGAGAGCGGCGGACGGGUGAGUAAUGCCUAGGAAUCUGCCUGGUAGUGGGGGAUAACGUUCGGAAACGGACGCUAAUACCGCAUACGUCCUACGGGAGAAAGCAGGGGACCUUCGGGCCUUGCGCUAUCAGAUGAGCCUAGGUCGGAUUAGCUAGUUGGUGGGGUAAUGGCUCACCAAGGCGACGAUCCGUAACUGGUCUGAGAGGAUGAUCAGUCACACUGGAACUGAGACACGGUCCAGGCUCCUACGGGAGGCAGCAGUGGGGAAUAUUGGACAAUGGGCGAAAGCCUGAUCCAGCCAUGCCGCGUGUGUGAAGAAGGUCUUCGGAUUGUAAAGCACUUUAAGUUGGGAGGAAGGGUUGUAGAUUAAUACUCUGCAACUUUGACGUUACCGACAGAAUAAGCACCGGCUAACUCUGUGCCAGCAGCCGCGGUAAUACAGAGGGUGCAAGCGUUAAUCGGAAUUACUGGGCGUAAAGCGCGCGUAGGUGGUUUGUUAAGUUGGAUGUGAAAUCCCCGGGCUCAACCUGGGAACUGCAUUCAAAACUGACUGACUAGAGUAUGGUAGAGGGUGGUGGAAUUUCCUGUGUAGCGGUGAAAUGCGUAGAUAUAGGAAGGAACACCAGUGGCGAAGGCGACCACCUGGACUGAUACUGACACUGAGGUGCGAAAGCGUGGGGAGCAAAC